ACGAACGCUGGCGGCGUGCUUAACACAUGCCCGUCGAACGGAAAGGCCCUGCUUUUGUGGGGUGCUCGAGUGGCGAACGGGUGAGUAACACGUGAGUAACCUGCCCUUGACUUUGGGAUAACUUCAGGAAACUGGGGCUAAUACCGGAUAGGAGCUCCUGCUGCAUGGUGGGGGUUGGAAAGUUUCGGCGGUUGGGGAUGGACUCGCGGCUUAUCAGCUUGUUGGUGGGGUAGUGGCUUACCAAGGCUUUGACGGGUAGCCGGCCUGAGGGUGACCGGCCACAUUGGGACUGAGAUACGGCCCAGACUCCUACGGGAGGCAGCAGUGGGGAAUAUUGCACAAUGGGCGGAAGCCUGAUGCAGCAACGCCGCGUGCGGGAUGACGGCCUUCGGGUUGUAAACCGCUUUCGCCUGUGACGAAGCGUGAGUGACGGUAAUGGGUAAAGAAGCACCGGCUAACUACGUG
rnacentral:rRNA from 1 species